AAGAAUUUAGUUUAAUAAAAAUGUUAAAUUGUAAAUUUAAAGUUUGAAUUCUUR
rnacentral:tRNA from 1 species